rnacentral:tRNA from 1 species
GGGCCUAUCGUCUAACGGAUAAGACAGGAGCCUUCUAAGCUUCUAAUGUAGGUUCGAUUCCUGCUAGGCUCA